CACGUAGGGCGCAAGCGUUGUCCGGAAUUAUUGGGCGUAAAGAGCUUGUAGGCGGUUUGUCGCGUCUGCUGUGAAAAUCCGGGGCUCAACCCCGGACUUGCAGUGGGUACGGGCAGACUAGAGUGUGGUAGGGGAGACUGGAAUUCCUGGUGUAGCGGUGAAAUGCGCAGAUAUCAGGAGGAACACCGGUGGCGAAGGCGGAUCUCUGGGCCAUUACUGACGCUGAGGAGCGAAAGCGUGGGGAGCGAACAGG
rnacentral:rRNA from 1 species